rnacentral:rRNA from 1 species
UACGUAGGGUGCGAGCGUUAAUCGGAAUUACUGGGCGUAAAGCGUGCGCAGGCGGUUUUGUAAGCCAGAUGUGAAAUCCCCGGGCUUAACCUGGGAAUGGCAUUUGGGACUGCAAGGCUGGAGUACGGCAGAGGAGACUGGAAUUCCUGGUGUAGCAGUGAAAUGCGUAGAGAUCAGGAGGAAUACCGAUGGCGAAGGCAGGCCUCUGGGCUGAUACUGACGCUCAUGCACGAAAGCGUGGGGAGCAAACAGG